rnacentral:rRNA from 1 species
AUUGAACGCUGGCGGCAGGCCUAACAUAUGCAAGUCGAACGGUAGCACAGAGAGCUUGCUCUCGGGUGACGAGUGGCGGACGGGUGAGUAACGUCUGGGAAACUGCCCGAUGGAGGGGGAUAACUACUGGAAACGGUAGCUAAUACCGCAUAACGUCGCAAGACCAAAGUGGGGGACCUUCGGGCCUCACACCAUCGGAUGUGCCCAGAUGGGAUUAGCUAGUAGGUGGGGUAAUGGCUCACCUAGGCGACGAUCCCUAGCUGGUCUGAGAGGAUGACCAGCCACACUGGAACUGAGACACGGUCCAGACUCCUACGGGAGGCAGCAGUGGUGAAUAUUGCACAAUGGGCGCAAGCCUGAUGCAGCCAUGCCGCGUGUAUGAAGAAGGCCUUCGGGUUGUAAAGUACUUUCAGCGGGGAGGAAGGCGGUGAAGUUAAUAACUUCACCGAUUGACGUUACCCGCAGAAGAAGCACCGGCUAACUCCGUGCCAGCCGCCGCCGUAA